UACGUAGGGUGCAAGCGUUGUCCGGAAUUAUUGGGCGUAAAGAGCUCGUAGGCGGUUUGUCGCGUCGGCUGUGAAAUCCCGAGGCUCAACCUCGGGCCUGCAGUCGAUACGGGCAAACUAGAGUGUGGUAGGGGAGACUGGAAUUCCUGGUGUAGCGGUGAAAUGCGUAGAUAUCAGGAGGAACACCGGUGGUGUAAACGGCUUUCUGGACCAUAACUGACGCUGAGGCACGAAAGCGUGGGUAGCAAACAGG
rnacentral:rRNA from 1 species